rnacentral:rRNA from 1 species
UACGUAGGGGGCGAGCGUUGUCCGGAUUUAUUGGGCGUAAAGAGCUCGUAGGCGGUUAGGCAAGUCGGGUGUGAAAACUCCGGGCUCAACUCGGAGACGCCACUCGAUACUGCUAUGACUCGAGUCCGGUAGGGGAGUGCGGAAUUCCUGGUGUAGCGGUGAAAUGCGCAGAUAUCAGGAGGAACACCGGUGGCGAAGGCGGCACCCUGGGCCGGAACUGACGCUGAGGAGCGAAAGCGUGGGGAGCGAACGGG